AUGUCUUCUAGGCGGCAACCGGACAUGGUCCAGGUGACCUGUGUGGCCAUUAAGGAAUGGACCAAGAUCCUAAGGUUUAGAUUUACCCCUGCACCAGAGGCCAGUUGCACACAACAUCAGCAUGAUGCCAUAUUCUGGGAUGGAGAGCGGCUUCUUAGGACCACUGAAUUGGGACCACAGGGAAAACUAACAAAAAUUAAGGAGGGAGAAACAUAUUUUUUGAAAGGUUGCAGAGUGACAGAAUCAGGAUUUCUAAAUUUACACACACACACACACACACACACACACACACACACACACACACACACACACACACACACACUGUCUUGGUUGACUUUACCUCUGUUGGUGCAGGUCCAGCAAAAUGGACGUGCCUCAGGCAGCAGUGGAAGAAGGCCGGGCAAAGCUUUUCCCCAUGUCUCCUCAUAUUAGCUUUGAAGACCUGCAGAAUCCCCCAACUAUCUUUUCAGUUUGUGGAAAGGUUGUGAAAGUAAGUAUUUGAACAUGAUAAUAAAAUAAAUUGUACUACUAGUAAUAUUUUUAACAACUUCUUAUCAACUUGUAGAUGAGCCAAAUACUGUGCAAGGGGGAUAAUCUUCCUUUAACCCUCACGCAGCCUUCGAGGGGGUCAGUCUGACCCCACGAGACAAACUAUGAAACUUUUGAUUCUUUUUACAUUUUUGGCCACAAGGCACCUACGCGUCGCAGGAUCCACUGCGGCUUGGUCACCGCUCCCUUCUUCUUCGUCACAAAGGCCCCGUCCGCAUCCUCCCGGGGGUCCGGCGCGACCCCGGCCCACGGAACUUCCCCGUCAGGCGUCCUGCCCGGGGUCCGGCGCGACCCCAGCUCCCUGUACCUCCCCGUCAGGCGUCCUCCCGGGGUCAGGCGCGACCCCAGCCCCAUGUACCCUCCCCGUCCCGCAUCCUCCCGGGGUCAGGCGUGACCCCAGCUCCCUGUACCUCCCCGUCAGGCGUCCUCCCGGGGUCCGGCGCGACCCCGGCCCACGGAACCUCCCCGUCGGGCGUCCUGCCGGGGUCCGGCGCGACCCCAGCUCCCUGUACCUCCCCGUCAGGCGUCCUCCCGGGGUCAGGCGCGACCCCAGCCCCAUGUACCUCCCCGUCCCGCAUCCUCCCGGGUCAGGCGUGACCCCAGCUCCCUGUACCUCCCCGUCAGGCGUCCCUCCGGGGUCCGGCGCGACCCCGGCCCACGGAACCUCCCCUCGGGCGUCCUGCGGGGUCCGGCGCGACCCCAGCUCCCUGUACCUCCCCGUCAGGCGUCCUCCUGGAGUCAGGCGCGACCCCAGCCCCAUGUACCUCCCCGUCCCGCAUCCUCCCGGGGUCAGGCGCGACCCCAGCUCCCUGUACCUCCCCGUCAGGCGUCCUCCCGGGGUCAGGCGCGACCCCAGCCGCAUGUACCUCCCCGUCCCGCAUCCUCCCGGGGUCAGGCGCGACCCCAGCCCCCUGUACCUCCCCGUUCUCAGAGUAAUGGCUGUCUACAAGAAGACGCUGCAGACCAUCGCAGUCAUUUGAUCAGAGCGGAGGGCAGCCAAAGGCCUCAGUAUCUUGAGGAUCACAACACAAAAAGGCACAGUGUGACUGUUCCCUAUGAGCCGCCCCAGGUAUCACUGCCUCUCACUUCUGACCUUUCCCCUAACGUAGCAAUUAAAUG
ensembl:lncRNA